UGCAUGGUUGUCGUCAGCUCGUGUCGUGAGAUGUUGGGUUAAGUCCCGCAACGAGCGCAACCCUUAAGCUUAGUUGCCAGCAUUAAGUUGGGCACUCUAAGUUGACUGCCGGUGACAAACCGGAGGAAGGUGGGGAUGACGUCAAAUCAUCAUGCCCCUUAUGAUUUGGGCUACACACGUGCUACAAUGGACAAUACAAAGGGCAGCUAAACCGCGAGGUCAUGCAAAUCCCAUAAAGUUGUUCUCAGUUCGGAUUGUAGUCUGCAACUCGACUACAUGAAGCUGGAAUCGCUAGUAAUCGUAGAUCAGCAUGCUACGGUGAAUACGUUCCCGGGUCUUGUACACACCGCCCGUCACACCACGAGAGUCUGUAACACCCGAAGCCGGUGGAGUAACCAUUUAUGGGGCUAGCCGUCGAAGGUGGGACAAAUGAUUGGGGUGAAGUCGUAACAAGGUAGCCGUAUCGGAAGGUGCGGCUGGAUCACCUC
rnacentral:rRNA from 1 species